CAGCCGCCGCGGUAAUACCGGCGGCCCGAGUGGCGGUCACUAUUAUUGGGCUUAAAGCGUCCGUAGCCGGGUUGGGAAGUCCUCCGGGAAAUCUGGCCGCUUAACGGUCAGAAUGCCGGAGGAUACUCCCAGCCUAGGGAGCGGGAGAGGCCGAGGGUAUUCCCGGAGUAGGGGUGAAAUCCUAUAAUCCCGGGAGGACCACCUGUGGCGAAGGCGCUCGUCUGGAACGCGUCCGACGGUGAGGGACGAAGGCCAGGGGAGCAAACCGGAUUAGAUACCCGGGUAGUCCUGGCUGUAAACGAUGCGGACUUUGUGUCGGACAAGCUAUGAGCUUGUCCGGUGCCGGAGGGAAACCGUUAAGUCCGCCGCCUGGGGAGUACGGCCGCAAGGUUGAAACUUAAAGGAAUUGGCGGG
rnacentral:rRNA from 1 species